CCUACGGGAGGCAGCAGUGGGGGAUAUUGCACAAUGGGGGGAACCCUGAUGCAGCGACGCCGCGUGGGUGAAGAAGCGCCUCGGCGCGUAAAGCCCUGUCAGCAGGGACGAAAAUGACGGUAGCUGAAGAAGAAGCCCCGGAGAACUACGGGACAGCAGCCGCGGUAAUACGUAGGGGGCAAGUGUUAUCCGGAUUUACUGGGUGUAAAGGGGGCGCAGAGGGGGCAGCAAGCCAGGAGUGAAGCCCGGGGGCCAACCCCCGGACUGCUCGUGGAACUGGGUGGCUGGAGUGCAGGAGGGGCAGGCGGAAUUCCUGGGGGAGCGGUGAAAUGCGUAGAUACCAGGAGGAACACCGGUGGCGAAGGCGGCCUGCUGGACUGCAACUGACGUUGAGGCCCGAAAGCGUGGGGAGCAAACAGGAUUAGAUACCCUGGUAGUC
rnacentral:rRNA from 1 species